CAUGGUAGAGGGCUAUAACGAAGACUUGAUACUUCUAGUAAAGCGUACCUUAAGCACCGCACUGCUUACAUUGCAUAGGCAUAUAUGGAAUUUGACAUCUGUAAAUAAAUCAUCAGAAAUAAUGUUGGCAAAAAGUGCACGCUGCGUUAAGCAAAGAUAGAAUGAGCAUCAGCAAAAUGUUGUUUUCAGGCUUACAGCAAUCGCCGAAAGGCAAAAGAAAGCCAGAUAUUGCAUAUUCCCAAGCAUAAAUUCGGACGAGAGGGAUGGGCUAAGAAACAUAUGGCGGUUGGGUUUGCCGUGUGCGAGUAUACUGCGCAUGACACCUCUUGUGUUGUCACGUGGGGAAUCACGGUAUCGUGGAAUGGAUGGCCUAGACCCUUCUGCACGAUUGCGGCUCUUUAGUUUUGCUUUUCACCUCUGAUGAGACAUAGCUUUAUCCCCGCCUUUUCCAGAAUGAUUCAUUUGUUGGGAAUCGGCUCUAUGUCCGUGUGCUUCGCUUGCGUUUGCUUGUUUUUUUUUUCUUUUACUGUCUAUCAUUUACUGCCCAUUAGCCUAUAUUUGUCAUGCCACAAAACACCACGGCCCGUACCUUUGCGUUUCAGCUAGCGUUGCUGUAUAUGGGACUACGUAGGUGAACAACUAUCAUCGAGGCGCGGAUGGCGAGGGGUUCGGAAGCAACACCUGGGGCAAACACUUCUAGGGCGAUCACUUCUAGGGCGAUCACUUCUAGGGCGAUCACUUCUAGGGCGAUCACUUCUAGGGCGAUCACUUUCGGAGGCAAUCACACUAGAUAUGUGUGCGUAUACGGCCGAAAGCGUUUCUCGCUCUGUGCCAAGCUCGCUUUCUAAUGGUGCACAGAACAGGUCAACGUUUCGUGUCCUCACCUCUUUCACCGUGCUAGUCACAUAAGUGUGCAUUGUCUUCUUUUUCAUUGGUUCCGACAACGAACGGCGCGAGAUCGACAUGUUCCUGUCCUGCACGCAUCUGUCGAACGAAGACGAUGCUGCCCUCUCGUGCGUCAUCACCAGGUCAAGCGGGGGAGGCAGCACGGGGGCCGACUGCACGUGUCAAACCAGCAAGGGCCAGCAUCUGUCCAAGGAAUACCGCCCUGUAGGCGACCAUGGGCGCAUGGCCCGGGAGGCCCGGGUCGGAGAGGGUUCCAUGGCGCCACCGGAACCCCUCGACCCAGUUUUCGACUCGCUGGCUGCACUCGAACAUCGCCUGUGCUGACAGGUUGCACAGCGUCGCCAGGUCGACUGCGGUGUGCAAGGUCCACCUGGCUCCUGGAGCAGCGAGGUGAACAGCAUGCUCAGGCGCACGCUCCAUAUCGGGCCACAGGUGCCAGUUAUGAGCAACGUAGGCGACACUGUGCCCCAGCCUUGCCGGUGGCAAGAAGGCUCCGUGUUGUCUCCGUGCAGCCGAAUGCUCCACUUUGAAUAUCGGUUGCCCAGGAUGUCGGGCAAGAUCCUGAGCAGCGUGCUCACCGGAAGUGGGAGAGAUGACGAGGAUCUCCCCACCACGGACUUCGAACGACAAAUCCUUCGAUCGGAAGCAAACGGUUCCGAGACCGCCGAAGAGCCGCUGACCCAGGCUGCCGAGGUUCAGCUGCAACGCCAGGUCGCGAACCUGCGUCAGAGCGGCCACAUUUACCGUCACGACGACGUGGCCGUUCCAACCAUUGCUGAGAAUUCCGACGAACGCGUGGUUACGCACACACAAAAAUAAAGAAUGACAACACCGCUGGCCAUCAGGCCGGAAGACGACGACGACGGCGGCGGCGACGACGCAUAACAACCAGGACCUGCCAGACGAGUCGCACUUAACAUGCCACUAGUCGAACUAUAAGUGUUCGCGGGGUCCAGUCUGAGUAGCCUAAGGAUAGUUUGGGGCGGGUCAUCGAAAUAGAGCACCGAUAACACGGCGGCUUAACGAGUUAUCGAGUUGGAGAAGGCAGAGGAAAGACAAGGAGUGGAAGGUUGGUGGAUGCUAUGAAUAGCUUAAAAGGACCGAAAACCACGUGCGACUGCAAAACUUGGCGGAGGCGUUCAUAGUAGCGUAUGCUGUUUGUGUGUUGUGUUCCCCCCAACCCACUAAGGUGUUUCGGGACCCUUGUAACGCUGUAAUGCAUAACGCACCUUCUGUAUACUUCGCAGCUUGAGACUUCGAAAUUCAAGUUUGUGCACGUGAAUCAGAGGUAGCGAUAUUAAUUCGCUGUCGAGCGAAGUGUGAAUUUUGAGUAGCUUGGGAAUCGAAUUCCUAAGUACGGUGCUGAUUACCUUUGCUGACAAAUUCUCUCUUCAGCACAAAUUUGCACUCCAUAUGGCAUGAAAUGGAGAAAAUUCUGCGUACGUAGAAGCGUGCUUGAGCAUUACAGGGUUAAACACUCCCCAAUGCUGUUGGUUUCAGUGCUGUUGAUUGAUGUGUACAGCAAGCGCGUCAAAGUAAGUGUUUGAAAGCUGCAGCAGAGGACGACGAAACCCGGAGUGAGACACGCGACUUCUCCAAUAUUCACGGUGCAUCUUGAACGCGUACCACAGGUGGUGCACAUCAAAAAAAAAUUUCGAGAUGGCUUGUAACGCGGCCGCCUUAACUGGCGCUCGUGUAUUGUUUAGCAUGAAGAGUUGAGCGUGACGUCAGCAUUAUGCCGAGGUUAAGCAAUCGCCGUAUAAGGAAGAGCUACUUGAAUACUUGCACGUACUUUACAGCUUUUCUUUUGUUUUUUCUCUCGGGUGAGCCGCAUUCUUUUUCUGUUGGAACGAACAGCUGAGCGCAGUACUUAGCCCCACGUUUCCUUGACGCUCGUCCAAAUUUUCUGCCUCUGGAAUCGAGAUUUCCGUCUCGUGCAGCUGCCGCCUUACGGUCCUGAGAAAUUACCAGGCGCCGCUAAGACGCCGCGAAACUGUUUUCAUGUCCCUGCCAUCGUUAAUUUUAACGUGCGUACUUGCGAUGUACUUCCGAUUCCCAGUAGCGGUUGUUCGUUAACUGAUGUAUUCGACGUCAUUUUUUUUGCGACAUUCCGCAACGCAUUUUCGUUAUUGCGACAUGUUUACAGGUAGUGUACGUGUGCGCACCUGUAAACUAGAGAAGAUUAGUUCGUUUAUAGCAACGCAGGCAACACUGCGCUGCAGGCUAGCCGGUGGAAAGAACACUCCGUGCAGCCGCAUUGAAUAUCGUUCGGACAAUGUCUAGCAGGGUUGAACCACCUUGCUCUGAAUUUUUCUUGCUCUGCAGCUAUGAAAGCACACAGUACACAUCCAAAUAUUCAUGACUGCUGGCGUCACCGAACCAUGGUUCGCAAUUUGUGGUGGUUUUACUACACACAGUAUACAUACUGUUUGCCUUGCAUGUGCUGCAAAACAACCCUGAAAUUUCACCUACAGCAUUCUCUCGAUUUGUUUUGUGUGCGUGUGUUUUGACCCGCCCAUAGGAAUUUGACUCGUGUGACAAUGUUUACGAAUUUCGAAAUAAACUUGAAUGAAGGC